AUUGCCUACGGUUCUGCCGUUCUGCAUCCCGCUCGCCGCGCUCGUCUUCCCCACGCGCUGUGCCCGCCUGCCAUCAACGCGCACGCCCACUUCCAUCCAUGGCCUUUCAUUCGUAAAACAUGCCUCCCCCAGGUGCCCCUUCCAUCCAUGGCGUCGCCGCGGUGAAAUCCUGUCCCCCAGAAACCGCGCCUCCCCCAGCAUUCCAUCCAUGGCGCACGCACCACACCCUCCUCCCCCUCUGCACGCCGCCAUCAACACCUACAGUCGCGUCGCUCCACGGAUCCCCCACCCUCCUCCCCUCUGCUCCCCGCCAUCAACGCGCACUGCCUGCGUCGCAGAUCCGGAUGCCGUAGAUCCGGAUGCCGCGGAUCCGCCUAUCCACCAUAAAUGCGAUCCGUGGAUCCACGCGCGCCCACCCCGCCACGCUUUCUCCGCGACACCUGCCUCUCCCUGCCGCGACAUGUGCCACAUGGACGUCGCGCUCACCCCCACGCGCUCCCCGUCCUGCAGCCCCCGUCGCGAGUUGCCCGUGACCCCUGCAUUUGCUUGCCGUGACAGGCGAUGCGCGGACGCCACACGCGCCCAGCUCGCCCACACCGUGCCAGCCGCUGCCACCCAUCAAAGCCGCCCCCAGCCGUGACGUGCGAUCGACGGCCGGAGCAGCCAAAUCUACCGGGCCGAUGACUGAAUCGACUGGCACAGCGACCAAAUCUACUGUCGGUGGGCAGCAGGCGAUCCCCUAGAGGCCGGAUCGGUGAUUGGGGACUUGGAGGCGUGGGCUGCUGCUGGGGUUUCGAUGGAGGCUACCGGCGUGAAGCAUUGGCCACCGAGUGCUGCACGCCAACAGCCAACAGGGGGUACCGUGCAGGUGGGCAGAAGCAGCCAGCGACAACAGUAGGGCACAGGUAAAACGAUCCCCCCACUUUAGAAAUUGCAAUCCCUAUUUUGAUCCUCGGAUGUGCGCCAUCCACCCCUGGUCCAUGGAUGUAUUUUCAAUGAAUUGGCUAUCCUAGCUACAAGAAGAAAUGGGAUUUAUAUGGACCUUCCAAAUACACUAGACAUUUGCAAGCAACCAAAGAUACUCUCAGAGAAGAAGGUUGUGAACACACAUCUGCAGAGAUAAAAAGGAGUGCCAUCAAUGGCAGCCACAGAUUGGGCAUGAAGUGUAUCCACUAUGAGAUCAAUGGGACAUAACUCCUCCAACAGGGAUUAGGCAGGCUAUGGAGAUGCAGGCUGAAGUAGAAAGGAGAAUAUGUGCCCAAGUCCUUGAAUCAGAAGGGAAGAAACAAGCCCAAAUCCUUGAAUUAGAAGGGAAGAAAACUGCCCAGAUCCUUUAAUCCGAAGGCGACGACUUCAUAACCCUUUUUAUCUUUUAGCUCAAUCAGGAGCUUCACGGUGCCAGUUUGAUCAUCUGCUUUACUGCAGUCGAGCAGCGGAGGAACUCGGCGCUCAGGGGACAACCAACCGUCGUGGUGCAGUACAAUGGCUGGAAAGGCGGCGGCUUGAUUGCCGUCAGCUACGAGGCUCGUGGAUUUGGUGUGAAGAGGUCCAUGCGCGGAGAUGAGGCCAAGAGGGUCUGUCCUGGUAUUAAUCUUGUUCAGGUCCCAGUGGCGCGUGGCAAGGCUAACCUUAAUCUUUACAGAAGUGCUGGUGUUGAGGUUGUUGCAAUCCUUGCAAGCAAAGGGAAGUGCGAGCGGGCAUCCAUCGACGAAGUUUAUCUUGACCUUACUGAUGCAGCAAAGGAAAUGCUCUUACAAGCUCCCCUAGAUUCACCAGAGGGGAUUUUUAUGGAGGCGACAAAGUCAAAUAUCUUGGGCCUUCCGGCUGUAAGAACGCUCUCACAGUUAGAUUUGUUACUGCUCUGCUAUUUGAUGUAGCAUGGUCAUAGGCCAUGAUAUAUUCAGAAUGCCAGCGAGAAGGAAAAGAAUGUGAGGGCAUGCUUUGUCAAUCAGAAGCUGAUUACCAGGACAAGUUACUGGCAUGUGGAGCUAUAAUUGUUGCACAGUUACGAGUCAAAGUUCUGGAGGAAACCCAAUUCACAUGCUCUGCUGGGAUUGCUCACAAUAAGAUGUUAGCUAAACUUGUCAGUGGAAUGUACAAGCCUGCUCAGCAAACAGUUGUCCCUUCUUCAUCAGUUCAAGACUUACUAGCAUCACUACCUGUGAAAAAGAUGAAACAACUUGGUGGUAAGCUUGGAAGUUCCUUGCAGGAUGAUCUUGGGGUUGAGACAAUUGGUGAUCUCCUAAGUUUUACAGAGGAAAAAUUACAAGAGCAGUAUGGAGUAAAUACUGGGUUUGACCAUAUAAUAUAUCUCCCUACUACUAUAUAAGCAUGGUGUGUAAUGGGUUUGGAAAAGGUUCUGGACGGACACAUGGUCAAAGUCUGCAAUGAUCAGUACAGUUUGACUGACAAAUAUACUGAUGGUUGGCUGUCUUCAGAUUGUAGAACAACUCUUUUUAAAUAAACACCUCAAAGAGUAAAGCUGACACCCAUCCACGAUCAUCACGCUGCUUGUGACGAUCGUCGUUCUCUUCCGUCGCUAAAACGUAGUGAGUUCUCUGCUUCGUCGAGUCACGCCCUCAUGGGUUGCUCGUGUUCAUUGUUGUUUGAUCUGUCAGAAAAAUCCCACGUGUAUUUGUUUAUAGAUAGAUUACACUAAUUAUUAAAACGGGUGAAAUUCAUUCACGCUGCAAAGUUGUACAUAGUGCGUUGGAAUUUAUUUGAAAGUAAAGCUGUACAUAGUUUUU